UGCGUAGGCGGAAUGAUAAGUUAGUGGUGAAAGCCCCCGGCUCAACCGGGGAACUGCCAUUAAUACUGUCAUUCUUGAGUAUAGUUGAAGUGGGCGGAAUGUAUCAUGUAGCGGUGAAAUGCUUAGAUAUGAUACAGAACACCGAUAGCGUAGGCAGCUUGCUAAACUAUAACUAACGCUCAGGCACGAAAGCGUGGGGAGCAAACAGGAUUAGAUACCCUGGUAGUCC
rnacentral:rRNA from 1 species